CUGAGACGCUACACACCAGAAAGCAGGCGCGCAAAUUACCCACUCCCGGAACGGGGAGGUAGUGACGAAAAAUAACAAUACGGGACUCUUUUGAGACCCCGUAAUUGGAAUGAGUACACUCUAAAUCCUUUAACGAGGAUCCAUUGGAGGGUAAGUCUGGUGCCAGCAACCGCGGUAAUUCCAGCUCCAAUAGCGUAUAUUAAAGUUGUUGCGGUUAAAAAGCUCGUAGUUGGAUCUCAGUUCCAGACGGGUGGUCCGCCUACCGGUGGUUACUGCCUGUUCUGAACAGUCAGCCGGUUUCUCUUGAUGAUCUUCACCGGUUGUCUUGGGUGACCGGCAAGUUUACUUUGAAAAAAUUAGAGUGCUCAAAGCAGGCGUGAUGCCUGAAUAAUGGUGCAUGGAAUAAUGGAAUAGGACCUCGGUUCUAUUUUGUUGGUUUUCGGAACACGAGGUAAUGAUUAAGAGGGACAGACGGGGGCAUUCGUAUUGCGACGCUAGAGGUGAAAUUCUUGGACCGUCGCAAGACGAACUACUGCGAAAGCAUUUGCCAAGAAUGUUUCCAUUAAUCAAGAACGAAAGUUAGAGGUUCGAAGGCGAUCAGAUACCGCCCUAGUUCUAACCAUAAACGAUGCCAGCCAGCGAUCCGGCUGUGUUCCUCAAAUGACACGCCGGGCAGCUUCCGGGAAACCAAAGCUUUUGGUUGCCGGGGAAUCAAGG
rnacentral:rRNA from 1 species